rnacentral:rRNA from 1 species
CGGACGGGUGAGUAACGCGUGAGAAUCUAACUUCAGGACGGGGACAACAGUUGGAAACGACUGCUAAUACCCGAUGUGCCGCAAGGUGAAACCUAAUUGGCCUGAAGAAGAGCUUGCGUCUGAUUAGCUAGUUGGUGGGGUAAGAGCCUACCAAGGCGACGAUCAGUAGCUGGUCUGAGAGGAUGAGCAGCCACACUGGGACUGAGACACGGCCCAGACUCCUACGGGAGGCAGCAGUGGGGAAUUUUCCGCAAUGGGCGAAAGCCUGACGGAGCAACGCCGCGUGAGGGAGGAAGGUCUUUGGAUUGUAAACCUCUUUUCUCAAGGAAGAAGUUCUGACGGUACUUGAGGAAUCAGCCUCGGCUAACUCCGUGCCAGCAGCCGCGGUAAUACGGGGGAGGCAAGCGUUAUCCGGAAUUAUUGGGCGUAAAGCGUCCGCAGGUGGUCAGCCAAGUCUGCCGUCAAAUCAGGUUGCUUAACGACCUAAAGGCGGUGGAAACUGGCAGACUAGAGAGCAGUAGGGGUAGCAGGAAUUCCCAGUGUAGCGGUGAAAUGCGUAGAGAUUGGGAAGAACAUCGGUGGCGAAAGCGUGCUACUGGGCUGUAUCUGACACUCAGGGACGAAAGCUAGGGGA